rnacentral:rRNA from 1 species
GAUGAACGCUGGCGGCGUGCCUAAUACAUGCAAGUCGAGCGAACAGACGAGGAGCUUGCUCCUCUGACGUUAGCGGCGGACGGGUGAGUAACACGUGGAUAACCUACCUAUAAGACUGGGAUAACUUCGGGAAACCGGAGCUAAUACCGGAUAAUAUAUUGAGCCGCAUGGUUCAAUAGUGAAAGACGGUUUUGCUGUCACUUAUAGAUGGAUUCGCGCCGCAUUAGCUAGUUGGUAAGGUAACGGCUUACCAAGGCGACGAUGCGUAGCCGACCUGAGAGGGUGAUCGGCCACACUGGAACUGAGACACGGUCCAGACUCCUACGGGAGGCAGCAGUAGGGAAUCUUCCGCAAUGGGCGAAAGCUUGACGGAGCAACGCCGCGUGAGUGAUGAAGGUCUUCGGAUCGUAAAACUCUGUUAUUAGGGAAGAACAAAUGUGUAAGUAACUAUGCACGUCUUGACGGUACCUAAUCAGAAAGCCACGGCUAACUACGUG